rnacentral:rRNA from 1 species
UACGAAGGGUGCAAGCGUUACUCGGAAUUACUGGGCGUAAAGCGUGCGUAGGCGGUUCGUUAAGUCUGAUGUGAAAGCCCUGGGCUCAACCUGGGAAUGGCAUUGGAUACUGGCGAUCUAGAGUGCGGUAGAGGGCAGUGGAAUUCCCGGUGUAGCAGUGAAAUGCGUAGAGAUCGGGAGGAACAUCUGUGGCGAAGGCGACUGCCUGGACCAGCACUGACACUGAGGCACGAAAGCGUGGGGAGCAAACAGG